rnacentral:rRNA from 1 species
AUUGAACGCUGGCGGCAUGCUUUACACAUGCAAGUCGAACGGCAGCAUGGACUUCGGUCUGAUGGCGAGUGGCGAACGGGUGAGUAAUGCAUCGGAACGUGCCGUGUAAUGGGGGAUAACAUAGCGAAAGUUGUGCUAAUACCGCAUACGCCCUAAGGGGGAAAGCAGGGGACCGCAAGGCCUUGCGUUAUACGAGCGGCCGAUGUCCGAUUAGCUAGUUGGUGAGGUAAAGGCUCACCAAGGCGACGAUCGGUAGCGGGUCUGAGAGGACGAUCCGCCACACUGGAACUGAGACACGGUCCAGACUCCUACGGGAGGCAGCAGUGGGGAAUUUUGGACAAUGGGCGAAAGCCUGAUCCAGCAAUGCCGCGUGAGUGAAGAAGGC